rnacentral:rRNA from 1 species
CCUACGGGAGGCAGCAGUGGGGAAUAUUGGACAAUGGGGGGAACCCUGAUCCAGCCAUGCCGCGUGUGUGAAGAAGGCCCUCGGGUUGUAAAGCACUUUCAGUGAGGAAGAACGCCUGGUGGUUAAUACCCAUCAGGAAAGACAUCACUCACAGAAGAAGCACCGGCUAACUCCGUGCCAGCAGCCGCGGUAAUACGGAGGGUGCGAGCGUUAAUCGGAAUUACUGGGCGUAAAGCGCGCGUAGGUGGCUUGAUAAGCCGGUUGUGAAAGCCCCGGGCUCAACCUGGGAACGGCAUCCGGAACUGUCAAGCUAGAGUGCAGGAGAGGAAGGUAGAAUUCCCGGUGUAGCGGUUAAAUGCGUAGAGAUCGGGAGGAAUACCAGUGGCGAAGGCGGCCUUCUGGACUGACACUGACACUGAGGUGCGAAAGCGUGGGUAGCAAACAGGAUUAGAUACCCGUGUAGGC